GGAUGCGAUCAUACCAGCACUAAAGCACCAGAUCCCAUUAGAACUUCGAAGUUAAGCGUGCUUGGGCGAGAGUAGUACUAGGAUGGGUGACCUCCUGGGAAGUCCUCGUGUUGCAUCCC
rnacentral:rRNA from 1 species